rnacentral:lncRNA from 1 species
AGCAUUUGGAAUGAAAAACAUGAUUCAUCAAUCAUGACGUUAAUAUGCUGAUCCUUGAGCUGUACUAUAUAACCAGGUAAAAUCAGACUCACAACAGAUUGGGAGUAAUGUUAAUAACUUACGCUAAAUAUUCGACAUGUUUGAUUGCAAAUCAAAACGCCUCGCAACCAAAUAAAGUAGCACGCUAUGUGUUCGAGUUAUUGUCCCACACAGCUUGACCUCUUUGAUCACUAAAUGN